CCUGCAUUAAAGUCUCAGGCCACUAGGAGCGCCGCCUCUGGGUGAGUGGUUUCCUGUUUGCUUAUUUCCUUAAUACAGCUCACUGAGUGUGGUCUUAUUGCCAGCAUCUGUCUGUGGUGGUAAAUAAACAGCCACGAAAAGUAUAGCUGAGAAUUCUCUAGGCAAGUAGUUUGGCCUGCAAUUUAUCACAAUAUAAUCCGCUUCAGGCGAGAGACUUCCUUAGAUUUCGUGCACCAGCUGUUUACAAAUAUGCACAGACCGCCCCCACUUGUCUUAUCGGAGUGUGCUGUUCGAUCUUGCCAGUCCAGCGUGUAUCCCGCUAGCUGAAUAUCCAUGUCGUCAUUCAGCCACGAUUACGUGAAACAUAGGAUAUUACCGUUUUUGAUGUCCCGUUAGUAGGAUAUUCGUGAUCGUACCUCGUCUAAUUUAUUGUCCAAUGAUUGCGCGUUGGCGUGUAGUAUUGACGGUAAAGGCAGCUUUCCCAGUCGCCUUCGCCAGGUCCUGACUAGGCAUCCGGCUCUUUGUCCUCUGUACCUGUGUCGCUUCCUCAUGCAAAUAAUGGGGAUGCCGGUCCUGUGGGGUGUUUGGAGAAUGUCUUGUGCGUCGUCUUUGUUAUAGAAAAAAUCAUCGUCUAAUCCGAGUACAUGUUCAGUGGUGGAAGAGACCCUCUGGAGUUGCUGCAGUGUGUCUGGGGCUGCUGUGUGUUCUCCUACUGGCUGGGAUCAUAGGCCUGUCUGUCUACUAUGGAGUCAUUGAUCAUCACGACUCAACAGAGAGAGACCAGCAACAGGACAGCAACAGCCUUCUGACUAAGGAGAGAGACCAGCUACAGACCAGUUACAACAACCUGACUAAAGAGAGAGGCAAAGCUUUUUGUGAUAGGUGAGAUAUAAACUGUGAUAAAUUAGAAGUAAAAUCAACAGUAAUUAUAUAUCAAUGGGUUUAUGAAGAUACUGGCUAUGUGUCACGUCCUGACCAGUUUAAGGGGUUAUUUGUUAUUGUAGUUUGGUCAGGGCGUGGCAGGGUGUGUUUGGUUUGUGUUGUUGGGAUUUUGGGGUUAGUUGUAUGGUCUUUAUAUUUUUACGUUCCCUUCUAGGAGUUGUAUUUCUUUGUUUUGGCCUGGUAUGGCUCUCAAUCAGGGACAGCUGUACAUCGUUGUCACUGAUUGGGAGUCAUACUUAGGUAGCCCUUUUUCCACCUGUCUUUGUGGGAAGUUGUUUUUGCACUGCUGUGUGUAGCCUGCAAGACUGUCGUGCGGUUUUUUUUCAAUAAAAGUUAAGAUGAGCAGUCAACCCGCUGCAUUUUGGUCCAAUCACUACGAUGGCCGUUACACUAUGUUUCUCAAUGUGUACACCUUUGCUCUACAACAGAGCAGCAUUUUCAAAAGGGAUGGAGAAACUUUGACUACAGUUUGUACUUCCUCUCUACUGAGAAGAGAACCUGGGAGGCGAGAGAAGCAGUGCUGGUGAUCAUAAACCACAGAGAGGAACAGGAGCGAGAGAGAGGGGGGGAGAGAAAGCGGGAGGGGUGAGAGAGGAGAGGAAGGUGUGAGGAGAGAGAGAGAGGGGGGGGGGGAAGAGAGGAGCAGAACUGGUGAUCAUAAACAGCAUAGAGGAACAGGUGUGUGAGAGAGGUUGAGUAUUUUCAUCAGUACACUAAUAUGUGGGCAGUUUUAAAAAAUAUAUUAAGUGACCGUUUUUUAUCUUUCUCAACAACCGACCAUUUAUCUUCAACCUCCACAUGAGAACCUGGAUUGGUCUGACUGACUCAGUUACUGAGGGGACCUGGAAGUGAGUGGACGGCACCCCACUGACCACAGGGGGAGAUAUUUGACCAUUUUACCUUGUGAUAUGGAGAUACAAAACAAUGAUAAAUUGCUUCCAAUCAUGUUCAUCAAAAUGUAUGUUCCUACUCAUGAAUGUCAUUCAAUGAGAACUAUAGAUGUAUUAUAGAA